CGUAAAAAAAGUAAAAUGCUCAACCGUACACCCGAACCCUAAAGAAUCUUAUUUCCUCCUACUCCUCCUGUGCGUGCGGCGGCGGCGGCGCUACACUCCUGCUCCUCCAGUGUGUGCCGCGGUGGCGGCGCUACGCUCUUGCUCCUCCUGUGUGUGCCGCGGCGGCGGCGCUGCACACAGGGCACAGCAGCAGCCUCCGUCAUGUUGCUCGAUGGCGAUCUCUUCAUGGACUUUUCUUGCAAGAUGUUCGUGUGGAGCGUCAGGUCUUGAACUAAUGCAUGAGUUUUUUUAAUGAUGUUUCUAAUCCCCAGUACUAAUCGGCUAAACACUAUAUUUUGUACUCAUGAGGGUUAUGCGGAUAGUUAGCUUUUGUUCCACUUGAUUU